AACGAACGCUGGCGGCAGGCUUAACACAUGCAAGUCGAGCGCCCCGCAAGGGGAGCGGCAGACGGGUGAGUAACGCGUGGGAACGUACCUUUUGGUUCGGAACAACUCCGGGAAACUGGAGCUAAUACCGGAUAAGCCCUAACGGGGAAAGAUUUAUCGCCGAAAGAUCGGCCCGCGUCUGAUUAGCUAGUUGGUGAGGUAACGGCUCACCAAGGCGACGAUCAGUAGCUGGUCUGAGAGGAUGAUCAGCCACACUGGGACUGAGACACGGCCCAGACUCCUCCGGGAGGCAGCAGUGGGGAAUAUUGGAAAAUGGGCGCAAGCCUGAUCCAGCCAUGCCGCGUGAGUGAUGAAGGCCUAGGGUUGUAAAGCUCUUUUGUCCGGGAAGAUAAUGACUGUACCGGAAGAAUAAGCCCCGGCUAACUUCGUG
rnacentral:rRNA from 1 species